CAGGAGCAUUUUAGCAAUUGCUAUAAUUUAUUCAGCUAUAGAACACAAAGUAAUGCCAUCUUCUGCAGAGCGCUCCCCUUUUGUUUUUUAUCCUUUUAUGUUUUUGGGUUUUUCCUUUUAUUCAACAGAAGCAGAACUGGGCCAGUUUCAGUUAUUUAUGAGCCACCUUCAUUCGUGAUAAAUAACCAUAAUAUGUAUUUAUGCAGUGCCUGCCAAGGCCCUUCUGCUCCUAUUGACUCAUGAGUCACUAAAAUACUUUUCUAUGGUAGAAGUGGACAAGGGCUAUUCAAGAUAGGAGAUAAUACAACUUCUGGGCUGGCAGCUGUCUAGUAAUUUUUCAGCGGUGCUUUGCAGAUUGAUGUUGAGUCAAGAAAGACCUAGAGCCUGACUCUCCUCAAACUCUAUGGGAUACCUCUUAGUCCUGUUAGAAAUCUGCAAGGCAUCAGACAUUUGGGUCCCCAAGCAGAUGUGCCAACACCCUCUUCCCCUUCCUUCCACAACAGCAUUCUGACCAGAAAAGAAGAUCCAGCAGCGACAGGAAAGUUCGGGGAGCCUUAAUCCAGGACCGCCAGAUCUCCAUCCUGGGGUACGCAACUAGCGUCUCGCAGAACACCGUCUUAAUAGGCUUUCCUGAAUCUCUUGACCAAAUUGCUCCUAGAACUCUGUGUUCCUCUGAACCUAGAAAAUGGCUUUUCUCAAGAUCACCCAGUACCUCUCCCUAUGUAUCUUUUUGUCAGCCUGGUUUUCUCUGUAUCUGUGUUUCUGGCGUGGUUCUUUCUUGUCUCUCUGCACUAUCCUUGUCUCUCUGCACUAUCCUAGGCCUACUAGUAGACGUUAAUGAAAAAUAUAUGGAGCUGAACCCACCCACAUACUGAGCUCUGAAAGAUUUCAAGAUCUGGCAGAAGAUAACACUUUGAAUAAAAUAUAAAAUAUGUUAUACUGCAAAAGUGGCUAACUCUGCCACAUUUGGCUGUGCAGUCAUGUCUUUCCUUUUCCCGUCUCUGUCCUCGGAGUGGGCUGCCGUGCCGCGCUACAGCUGCCUCCUCCCCCUUGGCUGCCGCCGCCGUUGCCCACCUCCUCGAAACCCCUGACCUCCAAUAGUCAGCUCCUCCCUGGCCAGCAGGACAGGUCUUCCAGGUCUUUUAGAGAAGAUGCCAACUCCAGAAUGAUUGUACCUUUGUUUACAUGUUUUUGUUUCGUUUUGAUUUUUGUUUUCUAAUUAAGACCACGCCCCUCGUUUCCAGAACAUACUGGAACUCUUAGGAUUCGAGGUUGAGGGACUUCAGGUGAGAACUACUGAGAGAGUCUCAUGCUCUGCCUGGAACCUCUUGUCCUCCACGAUUCAGGUUCUCUGGUUGAGUCUGGUCCACUCUGACAGAGUAUCUUUACUCACAGUGAUUUUCUCUUGGGGACUUCAUUGUCUUCCUCUCAAAUUGACUUUUGCUUAUAACACAGUCGGGAGAGAGAGAGAGACUCUGUGUGUGUGUGUGUGUGUGUGUGUGUGUGUGUGUGUGUGUGUACUCUUGGAAAACAGAGUUUAAAUUUUCUUUCUGGGGAAUUGGGAAUGUCACCGAUCGUGGUAUUAAGGCACCAAAGUAUGCCUUGACAGUCAAAAGGCACCCCCGCAAAUGAUUGAAGGCUGCUUCACCUGGAGCCCACAGAGGGCUCUGGGGCAGUGCUACUUAUCAAGAGCCUAUCUCAGUUCCAGCCCCAAAUACUGCUGGUGGUGGUGAUGUACCCUCCUAAUUUCUGCAUUUCAUGGUCCCUGUUCUAUUGGUUCAGAUUCCUAUCCCAAUUCCUAUUAUGUUUCAGCUCCUAGUCAUGUGUGUCUCUGAGAGGAAGAGACUAACAUUAGAUCUGGUAGGACAUGAUACUCUUCAAUCUUGUCACCUUAACUUUCUCCUGGAGCCAUGGAAGGUAGCAGUGGUAUAAUCUGAUCCCUCCUGUCCCCAUCCUGCCCAAUACCUGAUAGCUGUUUUUUCCUAGUUCCAGAACCUGAUUGGACCAAGUUUAAGACCAAGGUAGGGAGUGGGGGGCAGACAGGCAAUGCAAUGCAAUUCAACAUUUAAGAAUACUUCCCACUUACUUGUCCUUGUCAGUCCCUGGCCAUACAAACAGGCUGUACAAGACACAGGCCCUGACCUCAGUGAGUAAAUGUUUCUAUUGAA
rnacentral:lncRNA from 1 species